GAUUGACCUCGGAUCAGGUAGGGAUACCCGCUGAAC
rnacentral:rRNA from 1 species